AGGAGUGUAGUUCAGUUGGCAGAGUGUUUGCCUAGCAUGCCUAGAGCCCUGAGUUCCAUCCCCAGCACUAUAU
rnacentral:tRNA from 1 species